UAUACUUUCAUUAGGCUUUUCGACUUGGUAUGGUGCUUCUUGUUUUGAAUGCUUCUUAGAUAUUGUCAUUUAUCUUGUUUGUUAAUUUUCAGAUUCUUUUCUUGGGUUUGUAGGCUACUUUGGCUGAUUCCUUUCUAGCAUAUCUUGAUGAACUCUCUAAUGUAAACAAGUUUCAGGUUUCUAAAGGCUUUUUACUUCUCCGUGUAAAUGAAGUAAUAACUAUGUUGGUUGUUAUUAAGUGAGUGGUCCAGGGGCUUUAUAAAAUAGCUGGAAGCAAACUCAAUGGCUUGAUUGUUGGGGCUUGGGGAUGUCUUUGAGAGAAAAAGAACAAAUGAGAUGCAGAAGAUGGGUUACAAGCGUUCAGCAAAGAAGUGCAAAGAAAAAUGGGAAAAUAUGAACAAAUAUUUCAAAAGGACCAUUGUAACUGGGAAG